UCUUCUGCCACCUAAGAGAUUAGGCGUUCUCCUUCGGGGACAGAAUGACAGGUGGUGCAUGGUUGUCGUCAGCUCGUGUCGUGAGAUGUUGGGUUAAGUCCCGCAACGAGCGCAACCCUUAUUACUAGUUGCCAGCAUUCAGUUGGGCACUCUAGUGAGACUGCCGGUGACAAACCGGAGGAAGGUGGGGACGACGUCAAAUCAUCAUGCCCCUUAUGACCUGGGCUACACACGUGCUACAAUGGAUGGUACAACGAGUCGCGAAACCGCGAGGUUUAGCUAAUCUCUUAAAACCAUUCUCAGUUCGGACUGUAGGCUGCAACUCGCCUACACGAAGUCGGAAUCGCUAGUAAUCGCGGAUCAGCAUGCCGCGGUGAAUACGUUCCCGGGUCUUGUACACAC
rnacentral:rRNA from 1 species